GGCAAUGCUGGUAAGCGGCAAUAUGAGAUGAACACAGACUCUCCAAUAUUGUUAAAUUAGACCUACAUCAAAUCAAAAUUUCCUUAGAAAUCUGGGCUCACUGCACAUGAAUGGCUUUAUGAGACUCUUUGUAUAGAGAAAACAAGUGGGAUCCCUGUAUCUCAAUCCUGUCCUUGCCUGGAGCUGAGAUUUCAAGUUGUAAGCGAGUUAUGAGAUGACUGUGAGAAAGUCGUCAACCUCCUAGGGCCUCGGUUUCCUCAUUUGGCAGUAGAGGUGAUGCCCGUCAUCCAAGAUGCAAUCCAGCAGGCAUGUGGAGGUCCUCUCACACUUCCUAACUUCACACUUGGUGAGUGUUCUCUUAAUCCACAGAUAUCCUCUUGGUCCACAGUUUCAUUUGUAUUUCUGAAACCCCCUAAAUUCUAAAAAGCAGAAGUUAUUUUGUUUGUUUGUAAGUUGGUGUCAAAACUCAUUUGGUGGCAAAGCCUGACUUGAACUGACUUGAGGCUAUUUACCAGCUCUGUUUAAUCCCACUUAGUGUGAUUUGCCGCAGAAACGUUAAUACAUUCAAACUAAUUUAAUUAAUGUAUCCAAAAUCCAAAAAUUCUGAAUUCCAAAGUACUGCUAGAGCUAAGGGCUUCAGGAAGGGGACUGUGAUGAUGAUCCAGAUGAUGACGAUGGUGAUAGUCCUAGCGCUUUGCCUCUCAGUCGCUUGCUUCUUUCUCCUGGUUGUGAUACUUUGUUCUUGACUUUUGGCAUCUUUAUCUCCCAGCGACCUCCCAUAUUGUUUCUUUGCUGUCCCUGUGACGCAGUUUCUGAAAAGAACCUACGCUUUCUCCCAGCUCCUGGCACUGCUCUGCACGUUCCUGGUUUGACUUGGCUCACCCUCUGCUGCUCUGGGUCCAACCAGCAGUGGCCUCUGGGAAUGAGGAGCUUGGCUUUAUACUUGUCAAAUGGAUCAGGACAAAGACUCUGUCGUUCACUUUGGCUGGAAAAACAGACGGCCUGCUUGGAAACUACCUUUUCAUAGUUUUUCAUAGAAGGAGGGAAACACAGUGGAAAAAGAAGGAC
rnacentral:lncRNA from 1 species